UUGACAAAACAAUUAGAAAAUGGUCCGAGAGUGUCAACAGCUCAAUAGUCAGUGGUCCGAGAGUGUCAACAGCUCAAUAGUCAGUGGUUUGAGAGUGCCAACAGCUCAAUAGUCAGUGGUCCGAGAGUGUCAACAGCUCAAUAGUCAGGGGUCUGAAAUGUCAACAGCUCAAUAGUCAGCACUUCGGAAGCAAACUAUGUUGACUCGAAUUAUAUAUGUUUUCAUCUGAUAUGGAACUGAAAAUGUUACCCUUUGAAGUCCUAUGCAGUUACGUCGAUUGAAAACGAUAAUCAUACCGUCAAAAUGCAAGUAGAAAUUUCAAAAAGGUGUAGUGCCAAACAAGAUUUAGAACUAUCAACAGCCUGGACCUAUAAACAAAGAAUCAGGACCUGUAUAGACCGUUAUGAUGCACAAUUUUGAGUGAUUUCUACUGUUUGUAACAUAAUGAUUUGGUCGAAAAAGGACUCCAAGAGUAUUGGGGCCUUAAUCAAUGUUCCAUGUACAUGUUUUCUUUAAUUGAGCACGUUUGUGCUAGAACAAAUUUAAGAUAACAUAACAAUUCAAAUCACUGCUCCUUCGGAAAGGAAUAAGCUAUUCAUCCAGAGAAACUUUUUUAGUUUAUGACUUAUCGUAGAUUUAAGUUGGUUAUCAUCGUGCUUAUCUUUUUUUUUAUAAAUAAAAAGAAACACAAGUUGUAAAAAUGUAAACUAUGAACGUAAUCGAUUCGUAAAAUGAUUUCUUUAAAAAAGAUAUUGAUUGUUGUCAUAUAUCAUGUUAGAUAGACAGUGUUAUACUAAACUUAAGCCUGAUAAUGAUGACAUUUAUAUUUGAUAUACAUUACAUAGUUAA